CGUAGGGUGCAAGCGUUGUCCGGAAUUAUUGGGCGUAAAGAGCUCGUAGGCGGUUAGUCGCGUCUGCUGUGAAAACUCGGGGCUUAACCCCGGGCCUGCAGUGGGUACGGGCUGACUAGAGUGCGGUAGGGGAGACUGGAAUUCCUGGUGUAGCGGUGAAAUGCGCAGAUAUCAGGAGGAACACCGGUGGCGAAGGCGGGUCUCUGGGCCGUAACUGACGCUGAGGAGCGAAAGCGUGGGGAGCGAACAGGAUUAGAUACCCUGGUAGUCCACGCCGUAAACGUUGGGCGCUAGGUGUGGGGUCCGUUCCACGGGUUCCGUGCCGCAGCUAACGCAUUAAGCGCCCCGCCUGGGGAGUACGGCCGCAAGGCUA
rnacentral:rRNA from 1 species